rfam:Oryctolagus cuniculus chromosome 13, whole genome shotgun sequence.
ACAAAGGCUCUUUUCAGAGCCACCUGCCUUCCCCGAGAAGGAGGCU